UUUGAAGUGUUGCUUCAAUAGAGCCUUCUAUUGCUUUUCUAGCAUCUUUUUUCAGAUUGUCAUCAAUGAAUAGUGAAAUGUACUCGGGGGCUCGGGUAUAUCCGUCUACGAACGUAACAAAAGCAUCUGAUAAAGAGUUCAAGAUAGACCGAUCAGCAUCCAUAGUAGUACUUAUAAUUGUAUUUAGUCUAUCCCAUAAGGCCAAAACUUUUUGAACCCAUAAUGUUGCCAUUGUAGCAUUA